ACCCGGAGCCACGCGCGCACACGCACACACACAUCCGCUACCCUCUCGCUCACACAACACGCCGCCUUCGCACACUUGCACACCCAUACCACAGCGCGCACACAUUUCCAGCGUCCCGCUCUGCCUUUGGGGAGCCCAGACGGUGGAGAGGCUGCUGAAGGGCACUGCUUUUCUGAAUCGUGUGGUUCUCUCUCUGGCCCGGCAGGCCAGCUUUUCCGAGCCGGCGGGAGACCCAGGCCCAGGGCUCAGAUCCUCAAAGACCUGAAAGGGUUUUGGAGCAGGUGCCAAGUGUGAGUGCCUGCAGGCCUGACCCCCAAGGGCCCCUGCUGGGCCAGAACACAAGGCCAGUUCUGGACAGGGGCUUGUCAUAGACUGUCCAGCAGCAAAGUCAUUGACUGUGAUCACUGGAACUGACUCAAAGAGGCAGCCCAGCUUAAAGAAAGAAAGGAGGAAAAAAACCCUGCUGGACGUUGGAUGUACAGCCAAACACCUGGGUUGGGAAUGCAGAAAACAGGCAUGGAAUGCCAGGAACGCAGCACCUGUGGCUAAGUUGUGGUCUCACAGGCAAAUACUUUUUAAGAAUCUGCUGCAUGCCAGGCCUGCGCUGUGCCACCGUGUUAAGAAGAAACCAAGUAGCCAUAGCCACAUUGGGGAGAGUCAUCUCUCCAGGGCAGAUGGGGCUCUAAAGACCAAGAACUCUGGAGCCAGAUGAAUUCCUUAUUCAUGGGAGGAAGACAAGUGUCACCCAGGCAGGAGGUCAGCAGCCUAUGGAGGAAGCAGAACUUAUUUAGGAGAAAGAUGUUUCCAAAAAAAUGAGAAGAACAUCAGAGCCUUUUAACAAACACAAGGUAAUUUCAUUUUUAUAUUUCUUUCGUAAUAGAAUUUGACCUACCAUGAAAUGAACCAUUUUAAAAAUUAUCUACCAACUCAUACAACAGAAGGCAUUAAGUUCCCUCUACUCCCCCACCCCCACCCAGAAUUAACUUUUUAAUUUUAGGGACAGAGUAGAAGAAAAACACUGAGACCAAAGUAUCCGGCAUUUAAGAGAAGCCCCCAAUCCCUGGCUUGGCCAAUUUGUAGGAACUGGCCUUCCCAGAGGAAUUGGAGGUCUAAGCAAAGCCAACCAUUAGCUUCCAA
rnacentral:lncRNA from 10 species